UUUCUGUUUAACAGCCUGCC
rnacentral:snRNA from 1 species